GACGAACGCUGGCGGCGUGCUUAACACAUGCAAGUCGAACGAUGAAGCUGGAGCUUGCUCCGGUGGAUUAGUGGCGAACGGGUGAGUAACACGUGAGCAAUCUGCCCUUGACUCUGGGAUAACUGCGGGAAACUGUAGCUAAUACCGGAUACGACACCUUCGGGCAUCCGAUGGGUGUGGAAAGAAUUUCGGUCAAGGAUGAGCUCGCGGCCUAUCAGCUAGUUGGUGAGGUAACGGCUCACCAAGGCGACGACGGGUAGCCGGCCUGAGAGGGUGACCGGCCACACUGGGACUGAGACACGGCCCAGACUCCUACGGGAGGCAGCAGUGGGGAAUAUUGCACAAUGGGCGCAAGCCUGAUGCAGCAACGCCGCGUGAGGGACGAAGGCCUUCGGGUUGUAAACCUCUUUUAGCAGGGAAGAAGCGAAAGUGACGGUACCUGCAGAAAAAGCACCGGCUAACUACGUGCCAGCAGCCGCCGUAAGAC
rnacentral:rRNA from 1 species